GGUAACGCGUGAGAAUUCGCCUUUAGGAGGGGGAUAACGGAUGGAAACAUUCGCUAAAACCCCAUGUGCCCUYGGGUGAAAAAGAGAAAGUAAGUCAUACUGAUUUAUCUCUGCCUGAAGAGAAGCUCGCGGCUGAUUAGCUAGUUGGUAGGGUAAAGGCCUACCAAGGCGACGAUCAGUAGCUGGUCUGAGAGGACGAUCAGCCACACUGGAACUGAGACACGGUCCAGACUCCUACGGGAGGCAGCAGUGAGGAAUUUUCUGCAAUGGGCGAAAGCCUGACAGAGCAAUACCGCGUGGGGGAUGAAGACUUACUGAGUUGUAAACCUCGGUACCCUAAGGAAGAAGAUAUGACGGUACUUAGGGUGGAAAGCAUCGGCUAACUCCGUGCCAGCAGCCGCGGUAAGACGGGGGAUGCAAGUGUUAUCCGGAUUUACUGGGCGUAAAGCGUCUGCAGGUGGUUUCUUAAGUCUACUGUUAAAUCUUGAGGCUCAACCUCAAAUCUGCAGUAGAAACUAGGAGACUUGAGUAUAGUAGGGGUAGAGGGAAUUUCCAGUGGAGCGGUGAAAUGCGUAGAUAUUGGAAAGAACACCGAUGGCGAAGGCACUCUACUGGGCUAUUACUGACACUCAGAGACGAA
rnacentral:rRNA from 1 species